rnacentral:rRNA from 1 species
UACGUAGGGUGCAAGCGUUGUCCGGAUUUAUUGGGCGUAAAGAGCUCGUAGGCGGCUUGUUGCGUCAGCUGUGAAAACCCGCAGCUCAACUGUGGGCUUGCAGCUGAUACGGGCAGACUAGAGUAUGGCAGGGGAGACUGGAAUUCCUGGUGUAGCGGUGAAAUGCGUAGAUAUCGGGAGGAACACCUGUGGCGAAAGCGGCUCACUGGACCAUUACUGACGCUGAUGCUCGAAAGCUAGGGGAGCAAACAGGG